AGGUUUACUCAUCAAAUAGUCUUUCUCCAAACAUCAAACCACCACCUAUUGAUGAUGGAACACCCAACGAGAGUGUUGCUGAUGUGUUUGUAAGGGUGACACAACUCAUGUCUAUAUUAGAGACACAAUAUGCGGGAGAUACUGUGAUUAUUGUUUCGUCAGAUUCAGAUAAUUUGACAGUUCUACAAGCUGGUUUAAUAGGACUCGAUCUACGCAGGGGAUGUGAGGUUAGUAGAUCCGAAGAGCAUUCCUGACGUCAAAGAACCACCUUCAGCUGUUUACAAAUGUACAAAUCCUCCAAGCUGCACUUGAUGUUCUCCAUGGGCUUUGUUGAAGUCUCUAGGAAAUAAAAUGCUUAUGUUUGUAGAAAAUUUAAUUUGGAAAAAAAAAA